GGAGGGGUUCCCGAGUGGCUAAAGGGAGCAGACUGUAAAUCUGCCGGCUCUGCCUUCGUUGGUUCGAAUCCGACCCCCUCCA
rnacentral:tRNA from 1 species